AUCGGCCAUUUCGACGGUUAUGCAAAUGAGAGACAAUUAUUUAGCAUAUUUCGCGGGAGGCUCCGCCCCUUCUUGCGGGGGAUGUUAGGGAAAUUAUUGGUCAGAGCCCGCGCGGGCUGAUAAGGGAUUUAAGGAGGAACGGGUGACGGUUGGUUGUUUAGGUGGGCAGGCGGGGAGGGGAUGGCAAGGUAAGGUAGUGCAGCGCUGCUCCUUCUGCUGUUUACAUCUUGGAAAGAAGUAAUAUGCGAUGCUCCCUGGCGCAGCCUAUUUACCCAACGAAAAGCUGUUGCCUGGCAAGAAAGGAGCUCCAUAAUUUCCACGCUGUUAUUCAUGGAUGAAUCACUAGUCCUCAGCAUCAGUUUCCCUUUCGGAGUGCUAGAUCAUAUUUUUAGAAAUUAAAUAAGUGAUCCUGGUGUUCUGUGGAGGUAUGGCAAUCCAAAAUCAUUGCCUAUUAGUUAUUCUGUCCUAGGUCCUUCCCCCCUCUUCCCUUUUUGGCAGGUUCCUUUGCUUCACAAGUUUGUCACAAUAUUUUUGUAGGUGCUCAUACCUGCUAAUUUUUUUUAAAAAAUUGCUGCCAGUAGCUGGCAUGCCUUUUUUUGUUUUUGUUUUUUUAGAAUUACUAAGGAUUUCAGAUUACGUAAAUGGCAAACCCAUUAUCCAAGAUUACACACAAAGUUGCAAGUAGGAUGUGCAAUGCUUUAACUACAGAAAAUAUUAAUUGAUAAUUUAACUUGGACCCUGAUCUGUUUACUUAGAGGUGCUCAGAGUGCACAAUAAAAAUACAUUUGCAAGGGUGGGGUGGGGGAGAUCUAGAUCUCUCUUUCUAAGCUGCUGUUGCUGAGAGAUCUGAUUUGCCCAACAUAAGCGAUGCAGUGUUUAGUUGCUCAGCUUUUCAGUGUUUUGUGUCUGGGAUAAUUUGAUUAUUCUAACAAAUAGUAUUUUGUUAAAAGAAUCAUUUUGCUCAAAAUUGAGUGGAUAGUGAUUGUGUAAGUGUCAGAUAUUUGGUGGACGGUGCCUGUGACAUGACUUAAAUGCAAAACACUUGCUGUUUUGUCAAAUUUUUAACAUUUUUAUAUUUUUCUUUCCAUAGACCAAGAGCACUCCCAUGCUCCAGCAAAAGUAUACUCAUCUACCAAUUUAUUAAAAAGAGGUGGAAUGGAUUCUAAUGUAGCUCACAGCUGCUCAGUGUUGUUCAGUUCUCCAUUUUGGAGGGGGACAGAAUAGCACACACAUUCCCCAACAGAUCCUGUUUGCUUUCUUACCUCCAGCUCUCCCCACAUUGAUCUAUCCAGUCCCUUUCCCCGUGUGUCUGAUCUCCUUCACCUUCUACAGAUUUUCCUGCAGCAAUGCUAUCACAAGUCACUCUGAGGAUCCCAUGUGGAUGGAGACAUACACAUUUUAGAAGUACAGAAUUCUAGAAGUACACAAAUAGAAGAACAUAUAAAAUCAGAUUCGGGUUGACCUGGUUUCCAAAGUUACUGCAGAGUCUACUGUGGAGGUGUCCAGCAACUCCUCUUAUGUGAUUAGAUUGGAUCAUUUUCAGUUUGUGAUUCCUGAGAAAGUGGACAAACUGCUUCAGACUGUGUGUCCUACAACCUGUUAUCUUUUAUUUUAUUUUUAUUUAUUUAUUUAUUUAUUUAUUUAUUCGAUUUCUAUACUGCCCUUCCCAAAAUGGCUCAGGGCAGUGGGACUGGGUGGCACUGUUAUACAAUGGUUCCAUUCCUUCCUCUCUGGUAGAUUCCAGAUGGUGUUGCUUGGAGACUGUUGUUCUGCAAAGCGAGAACUAAAGUAUGGAGUUCCACAAGGCUCCAUACUGUCUCCAAUGAGGUUUAGAGGCUUGGUGCUGGGUCUUAUCAAUAUGCUGAUGACACCCAGAUCUAUUUCUCCAUGUCAACCUCAUUAGGAAAUGGCAUAUCUUCUCUAAAUUCCUGCUUGGAGGCGGUAAUGGGCUGGAUGAGUGAUAACAAACUGAAGUUGAAUCCAAAUAAGAUGUGGGGCUGCCUUUCUAUGUAGCCUAGAAACUACAAUUGGUACAGAAUGCAGCAGCCAGAUUGGUCUCUGGGACAAUUCAAAGGGACCACAUAACACCAGUUUUAAGGGAACUGCACUGGUUGCCAAUAUGUUUCCAGGUGAAAUACAAAGUGCUGGUUAUUUCCUAUAAAGCCCUUAAUAGCUGGGGUCUAGGCUAUUUAAGAGAGCGCCUCCUUUAUCAUGAACCCUGCUGCCUGUUAUUAUCUUCCGGUCUGGUUACAGUUGCCACCAGCUUGUUUGGUGGCAACCCAGGACCAGGCUUCCUCUGUGGUUGUCCCGGGGCUUUUGAAUAUGCUCCCUGCUGAAAUAAGAGCAGCUCCUUCUCUGUUUGUUUUCAGAAAGAUCCUCAAGACUCACCUGCUCUCACAGGCUUUUAAUUAGAAUUAAUUUUAAUAAUUUGUUUUAAUAAUUAUUUUAUGCUACUGUUUUUAUUUCUGUUUUAUACUACUAUUUUAAUUGUUUCGUGUAUUUUAAUCUGUGCUGAUUUUUAAAUAUUGUUUUAAAUUUUGUACACUGCCUAGAGAUGUACAUAUCAGGCAGUAUAAAAACACAAUCAGUCAAUCAAUAUAAGAAUACCAAGUAAAAGUAGUAAAACUGCUAAUUGUAGUUGUACCUUCAACUUCAAUUGAUUGAUUAAGUACUGUAAAGUCGGUGUCGACUCUUAGCGACCACAUAGAUAGAUUCUCUCCAGGAUGAUCUGUCUUCAGCUUGGCCUUUAAGGUCUCUCAGUGGUGCAUUCAUUGCUGUCGUAAUUGAGUUCAUCCACCUUUCUGCUAGUCAUCCUCUUCUUCUCUUUCCUUCAACUUUCCCCAGCAUUAUGGACUUCUGAAGGGAGCUGGGUUUUCGCAUAAUAUAUCCAAAGUAUGACAGUUUGCGCCUGGUCAUUUGUGCCUUGAGUGAAAAUUGCGGACUGAUCUGUUCUAUGAUCCAUUUGUUUGUUUCCUUGGCUGUCUGUGGUAUUCUCAAAAGUCUUCUCCAGCACCAAAGUUCAAAAGCGUCGAUACUUUUUCUAUCUUGCUUCUUCAAAAUCCACCUUUCGCAUCCAUAGAGUGUCAUGGGAAAAACCAUGGUCCGAACGAUUCUAAUCUUUGUAGGUACAGAAACAUCAUGGCAUCUAUCCUUUCCAAGGCCUUCAUUGCAACCCAACCAAGUAGUAGUCUGUGGCGUAUUUCUUGACUGCUGGAUCCUUUACUGUUGAUGAUCGAUCCUAAAAGGCAGAAGUUAUCCACCACUUCAAUGUCUUUAUUAUCAAUUCUGAGGCUGGCUGCUGUACCUAUUCUCAUUAUUUGAGUCUUCCUUACAUUCAGUUGUAUUUUAUCUUAUUUUCUCCCAUUUUAUCUCUAUGCUCCUUGACUUUCAUGAUUAGAGCUUGCAGAUCAUCUGCAUUCUCAGCUGUCAGAGUGGUGUCAUCAGCGUAGCGCAGGUUAUUGAUGUUUCUUCCUCCAACUUUAAAGCCACGCUCAUCUUUCAAUCCAGCUUCUCUCCGUGUAUGUUCAGCAUAGGAAUUGAAUAAAUAAGGAGAAAGUUUACAGCCUUGUCUUACUCCUUUGCUGACCUGAAACCAGUCUGUUUCACCAUGUUCCAUCUGGACUGUGGCUUCCUGUCAUGUGUAUAGUUUUCUCAUGAGAACAAUGAGAUGUUCUGGGAUGCCCAUUUUCUUAAACAUAUUCCACAACUUGACAUGGUUGACACAAUCAAAACUUUUCUGUAAUCAAUAAAGCACAUAUUGACUUCUUUUUGGUAUUCUUUGGCUUUCCCAAUUAUCCAGCGUGCAUCAGCAAUGAUGUCCCUUGUUCCUCGGCCUUUUCUGAAACCAGCUUGAACAUCCAGUAUUUCCCUUUCCACAUAGGGCUCUAAUCUGCGUUGGAUGAUCCUGAGCAUUAUUUUGCUAGCAUGUGAAAUUAAGGAUAUUGUGCAGUGCUUUACACAAUCUGUUAAGUCUCCUUUCUUUGGUAUGGGUAUGUAAACUGACCUCUUCCAAUCUGUUAUCCCCUGUGUCAUUCUCCAAAUUUGCUGGCAUAGUUUGGUUUGAGCCUUGACUGCUGGUUCUUCUGUUGCCUGCCAUAUUUCUGCAGCUAUUCCAUCAGUUCCUGUAGCCUUCCAACUUGGUAAUGACCGGAGUCCUGAUCUAACUUCAUCUUCCUGUACUAGAGGUUCUUGCAAGUAGGGAAUAUCUUCUAGAGUAUUUUGGAUGUUGACGUCCCUCCUGUACAGAUUUUCAGUAUACUUCUUCUGUCUCUGUUUGAUCAUCUCGAAUCAGUUAUUAUUUGUCCUUUGGCAUCCCUUAACAUACCAGUUUGAGGUUGGAACCUCCCUCUGAGUUCAGUGAUCUUUUGGAAAACCUUCCUUGUUUUUCCAUGUAUAUUUCCAUCCUCAAGGUCUUUACAGAUGUCAUUGUAGUACUGCUUUUUGUCUCUUCUAACAGCUUUCUAAAAUUCCCUAUUAAGUUCCUUCCUGAGGACUUUAUCUUUCUUGACUUUGGCUUCUCUCCUCUUCUUGGCAAUUUCCACCAUCUGUUCUGACAUCCAUUUUGCUUCCUUCUGUUUCUUGGUCUUUGGCAGUCUUUUUUCACAUUUGUCCUUAACAAUUUAUUUGAUUUCAUUCCACAGUUCCUCUGGUUUCCUAUCAAUGAGGUUCAGAACUUCAAAGUGGUUCCUGAUGUUCUCCUUGAAAAUGCUUUUCUUUUGUUUUUGGCUGGAAAUAUGCAAAACACGGUUGAAGAACAUCGAUAACCUUGCUAAAUAUGGUGAUUUAGUCAACCAUAUUAGAUUGCUGUAACACGUUCCAUAUGAACCUGCCCUUGAAAAAUAUCUGGACACUUCAGUCGGUGAAAAAUGCAACAGCUAGACUCCUCCUCUCUCUCCCCUUUCCCCCAGAUGUGAAGCCUUUGGACAUCUUGAAACCAAUUUACACAUUCAAGCAUCUGACUACAUGGGCUGUAGUCCACGAAAAGGGCUGAAACAGACUAGGCUGAAAUAAACUGAAGACACAAAGACAUUAGCAGUUGUGGCUUUUGGAUUUUUUUCUAAUGGAUCACCACAGCUACCUAGGUUUGCUGACAACCUUGGGGCUUUUGUCUUACUAUUCUUUUCUUACGAAUUUGUCUUACUAUUCUUUUCUUACGAAUUUGUCUUACUAUUCUUUUCUUACGAAUUUGUCUUACUAUUAACCUCAGGAUAGGUGAUAAUUUAAAUAAUAGCAGGUCUGGGUUUUUUGUUUGUUUGAUAUGCGGAAGUGCAGAGUUGCUACAGAUGCAAAGUGACCAGUGAAUAAAGGAUAGGUGGCUGCUUUUUA